AAACUGCGAUAAGUAGCGUGAAUUGCAGACGCUUUGAACGUUAAACUUUCGAACGCACAUUGCGCCGUAGGAGUCCUACCCUACGGCACAUCUGGUUGAGGGUCGUGAUCAAAAACAGCCAGCCAGUUGCUGUUAAUGUUAAACCAAUUGGCGAAUCACUAGUUCGGCUUUCAGUACUCUAGUCGAAAGUGGUUUGUCAUCAUGAAACAGAGGACGUCUUCAGCUCUCUUCCUCUUCGGGGGGAGAGGGUUGGACGCCUACCACACGGAUGGGUUAUCGGCUGUAGGCUUAUACCUGCAGUCCCUUGCGCACCAUACUACGUACAUUAGCGUAAGUGCCUUGGGGCUUUGUGGGUGCAGCACGAUUUUUGCAUACGUGCCUGGUUCUUGAAGGCGAUUCU
rnacentral:misc_RNA from 1 species